CCUACGGGGUGCAGCAGUGAGGAAUAUUGGUCAAUGGACGAGAGUCUGAACCAGCCAAGUAGCGUGAAGGAUGACUGCCCUAUGGGUUGUAAACUUCUUUUAUAUGGGAAUAAAAUGUUCCACGUGUGGGAUUUUGUAUGUACCCUAUGAAUAAGGAUCGGCUAACUCCGUGCCAGCAGCCGCGGUAAUACGGAGGAUCCGAGCGUUAUCCGGAUUUAUUGGGUUUAAAGGGAGCGUAGGUGGAUUGUUAAGUCAGUUGUGAAAGUUUGCGGCUCAACCGUAAAAUUGCAGUUGAAACUGGCAGUCUUGAGUACAGUAGAGGUGGGCGGAAUUCGUGGUGUAGCGGUGAAAUGCUUAGAUAUCACGAAGAACUCCGAUUGCGAAGGCAGUUCACUGGACUGCAACUGACACUGAGGCUCGAAAGUGUGGGUAUCAAACAGGAUUAGAUACCCCGGUAGUC
rnacentral:rRNA from 1 species